CGCUCAUCCAGAGGGGCAGAGGGAUACGGCCCGUUGAAGCCCCGGCAACCCUCCAGUCGGUCUCCGCCGCAGACAGCUGCUGCCAGCUCAGCGCGCGCGAGGCUCCCGGCUAGGGAAGGUGCCAAAUCCGUCUCGUGGCGAGAUGCGUCGCGAGGAAGAUGAGGA
rnacentral:ncRNA from 1 species